UAAAAUUUUUAACAAUUAGUUUAUAUUAUUCUACUUAUAUUGUCGCGGGUUGAAAUUUUGCAGGGUUGUUGAAAUCAAAUUUAGGGACUUUACUGACGGGACUCUGGGCUGGCUGCUCUGUUCACUCGUCAGCGCAAGUGGCGUGACCAUGUAAUUGGGGCACGGGGCCGGCGCGGCGCGCUGCGGGCUUGCAGAAUUUUGUUUGUUUGUUUGGCCGCGCGCUGGCGCAGCCACGGGCCGCAGUUACUGGGGCGCGCUGUCGUAACAAGCCGCGCGGUGUGGCCUGCACAUUGGGGUAGAGGGGGGGUAGUCUUCCCAGAUGUUCUAGUUAGUUGUUUAGUAAAUUUGACUUCAAUAACGAGCUUUUGUUAUGGUAGGCGCGGCAGGGCGCGCGAAUUUAAGCGCAAGUGAGUGGUGACUCGGGGCUCACUCAGGCGGAGGCUAUGCGUCUCACCUGUGGUCACGAGUUGUUAGUUCGUUCGUGAUGUAGGAAUUCAGGCUCACUCAGGCGGAGGCUAUGCGUCUCACCUGUGGCCACGAGUUGUUUAGUUAGUUCGUUCGUGAUGUAGUUUAAGUUAGGUCAUAAUGUAGUCGUCAAGCUUUCGGGCGGAGGCUAUGGCCCUCGUCAGGGGUCACGCGUCAUAGUUUUUAAAAUGUAAUGUUCGUUCGGGAUUUCAAGGGCAGGAGAGGCCCCUACGUUAUUUUUUUAAAGUAAUCGAUCAAGAAAGGCUUUUCGGAAAAUGUGAGUAUGGACUUAUCUUUGUUAUGAUUUGAGGUAUUCGGAAGGACUAGGGAAGUGUUUAGUGAAGUUCUCUCAUUCUCUCUCUUGUAAGGUCGUUCAAUCGUUAAGGAAGUAAAGAGAUUAUUGUUUUAAAUUGUAAUCCCGCUAUUUAAAUGUUCUUUAAAAUGAUGUUGAGUAUUUGACUUUAAGAAUAAAAUAAUUUUAAUUAAGUAUUAUGUUAUUUUGCAAAAUCUCCUUAGUUCAGCUCUCACCAGACAUCCUGUACGGGAUGACGAACCUAUGAUCCUAGGUACAGUAAAGUAUUUUAUGAAGUUAAGACUAGUUGAUGCCAAGCGAGUUGUUUCUAUGUAAAGAGCUACGAUUCUCUCCCCCCUCUGAAAGUGGAUCGUGACAGAAAUGGCGGUGGCACCGGCUAGGUGCACGUGACAGAAAUGGUGGAGGCGCCGGGUAGGUUCUAUUUCUGGAGAGAGAGAGAGGUAGAUUUUUAUGUUUAUUAUUAAGUUAGUUUCAGCUUCUGAUAGCAGGUUAUUAAGAGUUUACUUGAGGAGAGGAUUACGGAAUUUUAGUCUAUAGUGGAGGAAGUCUUUGAGAUUUUUUUUUUUUGACGUAACAGAUGUUUAUUUGAGGAUACUUGUAAGGAUAAAGUUUAUAGUGAUAAGUUGUUUUAAGUCGUUGAAUUUAUUGUAGAUUUAUAUCGGGGAUUAUUACGUGAGGAGAAUACGUUAUAAGUUAAAUGCUUAUUAGAGAUAAUGCAAGUGGUUUAAUUUAAUUGAAGUUCAUUUUAAGAUUGUAGGUUAAGAGAAUUAUAAUUUAAAAUAAAAAUCUUUUGUCGUAAAUAGGAAUUAUUUUCAAGAGAAGUUUGUUUUGUUUUCGUGCGCGUAGGAGACGAGACGUACGAAUUAAAUCAGUCGAGGGAAGGAUAAACGUUAGAAAGGAAUUAAAGAGAAAACGAGAGUUUAUGUAAAAGAGAGUUAUAGAAUUUAUAGUGAUGUUUUGUUUUAAUUAGAAAAAUGUUGAGAGUUGUUUCAGAACGACACGUCAGUGGACGUGGCAGAGUGAACACGUGACGGGGAGGUGCUGAGACCUAGCGGAGAACGGAGGAACCGCAAGCGAGGGUUGGCGCACCUGAUGGAAUUCGGUGACGUCACGGGCUCAUACGGAGACGUGGACAGGCCGUGACCUUGUUUUGAUCAGCUGUACGGUAACUUAGCGAUAAGAAAAUAGACUAUUGGUUAAAUAAAUUUAAAUUUAAGUGUGUUUUAGGAGAAGAGGAACUUUCAGUAUAUUCCUUAAGAUGAGCUGAGCAGCAGUCCAGUUUACAAGAUGACAAGAGUUCGAGAGACAAGAUACAAGAUCACUGAAACAAGAGCCAAGACUGAAGAUUCAAGAGAAGAGAAAGCUGGCAGCCAUGGACUUACAAGUGGAGAUUAAUAAGGUCAUGUAAAGUUUUAUUUUUUUUUUAUGGAAGACAGUAACUGGAGUUUUUUUUUGUUAUAAACAUUAUUUACAGAACUUUUUAGGUUAUAGUAAUGUAAUGGAACUAGUGAGUUGUGGUAGCUGUCAAAAAGAACUAAUACCUUAAGUUUAAUUUUUAAAGUUAAUUUUCUUAAUUUACAGAGGGAUUAGUAGUUUUUUUUAAACCUUAUUUAGGUUGGAAUUUAAAUACAAUAGCUUAUUAUAAAUGUGUACGAACAGUUCAAGUUCACCGUACUGAUAGGUAGGUCAGAUGAUCUUAUUGAUUUUGAUGAUUUGUUGUUUUGAGUUGAUUUUUAGGUGUUGUGAAUUAGACAAUGAAAUAGUUUUGAAAACUUAAAUUAUUUCAAGCUAAGAAAUAGUAAAGUUAAUUGUAACUCAAAGGACACCAGAAUUUAAUUUUUUUUUGAAUUAGUAAUGUUUGAAAAUUUUAUACUUUACAAGAAAGGUUAUAAACAAACAGAUCGGAUGGAACAAGGAUGCAGUAAAUCACAAUUUCAUUUAGAAUUAUUGAUUAGCUUUUGAGGUUAUGAAGUAAAAGUAAUUAUAGUUUAAAAGUUUGAAUAAAAAAAAAUGUUUUUUUUUAUUUGUUUGAAAUAGAAAGUUUAAAAGUUAAUUAGUCAUGAUCUAGGUGGGUGAUGGGGUGGGAAUUGGCCACUCUUUUUCCCUAUAACCUCCCUAACAUGGCCUUCUAUUACAACUAACAGAAAUAAAGAAGAAGAAAAAUGAAGAAUUAUUAGUUAGAAUGUUUCUUUCAUGAAGAUACCUGAUGAACUUUUACUGUUUGGAAGAAUAGAAGCAAGGUUAGUCAGAUAUUUUUACUCAGAAGAAGAAGAAGAUAAAGCAGUUUUAUGACUCGACAAGCCAGAGAUUGGUGUUUCCCCUCUGCGCUUCUAUUGACUACGUUGUUUACUCUCAUGGGAUAGCUGGUUCGGCACCAUGGAGAGAGAUUGGUGGGCAUUGUGGUUGCCCCCAGAAGAAAGGAAGAGUAGAAAGGUUAUGGGUGGGUCAUGUGAAGUGACCUUCAACCCAGUUACUUCGUGGGGACUAUUUGCUGUAUAGAGAAGAUCAAGACUCAAGAGGUAGGGAAAAUCAUUGGAGGUCAUGUUUCCCUUCCUUAAGUUUUUCCUAUCAAAUUAUUUGCCUGAUUAGAUUAUGCUAAGGGUGGGAUACUUUAUGUUAGCAGUUGAAUUAAUUAAUUUUAUUUUUUUGUGUGUUUGCAUCCUUGCCCAUCGAUUGCAGUUUAGUAGUUAGUUUUGUAUUUGUCAGGCGUGAUGGUAAUGCCUGUUGAUGAUGUUUCAGAAUUGUAAUCUGUUCGUGAUGAGGAUGGCACAACUCCGAAGCAGAUGUGGGGAGAAGUUGUGAGCUGCCCUGGAAGCCAGUCCAGUAGCUGUUGGAGUUGAGUGGUGUUUGCUGAUGGCCAGCCCAGGGAGCUACUCUUCUCGACAACACUGACUUCGAGGAGUUGCACCAACCUUCACGAGAUAAGAGUUUAAUUAAUUGAAACACUGUAAGGACACUUAAUUUUUUUUGAAGAACGAAAGAAGUAUGGUAAUAAACGGAAACCGAAAAAAAAAAAA